rnacentral:rRNA from 1 species
GACGUAGGGUCCAAGCGUUGUCCGGAUUUAUUGGGCGUAAAGAGCGUGUAGGCGGCCGUACAGGUCAGCUGUGAAAACUCGAGGCUCAACCUCGAGACGUCGGUUGAAACCGUACGGCUAGAGUCCGGAAGAGGAGAGUGGAAUUCCCGGUGUAGCGGUGAAAUGCGCAGAUAUCGGGAAGAACACCCGUGGCGAAGGCGGCUCUCUGGGACGGUACUGACGCUGAGACGCGAAAGCGUGGGGAGCGAACAGG